UACAGAGGGGGCAAGCGUUGUUCGGAAUUACUGGGCGUAAAGGGCGCGUAGGCGGCCUUCUAAGUCGAACGUGAAAUCCCCGGGCUCAACCCGGGAACUGCGUCCGAUACUGGAAGGCUUGAAUCCGGGAGAGGGAUGUGGAAUUCCAGGUGUAGCGGUGAAAUGCGUAGAUAUCUGGGGGAACACCGGUGGCGAAGGCGGCAUCCUGGACCGGUAUUGACGCUGAGGCGCGAAAGCCAGGAGAGCAAACGGG
rnacentral:rRNA from 1 species